AAUGAACGCUGGCGGCGCGCCUAAUACAUGCAAGUCGAGCGAGAAGACGUAGCAAUACGUUUGUAAAGCGGCGAACGGGUGAGGAAUACAUGGGUAACCUACCCUAGAGUGGGGAAUAACUAGCCGAAAGGUUAGCUAAUACCGCGUACGCUCCUUGGACUUCGGUUCAGGGAGGAAAGCGAUGCCGAGGGUAUCGCGCUCUUGGAUGGGCUCAUGUCCUAUCAGCUUGUUGGGAGGUAACGGCUCACCAAGGCUUCGACGGGUAGCUGGUCUGAGAGGACGAUCAGCCACACUGGCACUGCGACACGGGCCAGACUCCUACGGGAGGCAGCAGUAAGGAAUAUUGCGCAAUGGGCGAAAGCCUGACGCAGCGACGCCGCGUGGGGGAUGAAGGUCUUCGGAUUGUAAACCCCUUUCGGGUAGGGAAGAUGGAA
rnacentral:rRNA from 1 species